CUAAGGAAAACAGAUGGAUGGAGAGCAGAAAUGCUAAGAGAAAUCCAUCAGUUACGGAAGCACACUGCAAAAGAAACUUUGUUCAGUUUUGAGAGUACCAACAAUAAGAACUUGGGCCUGUAGCUCAGCUGGUUAGAGCGCACGCUUGAUAAGCGUGAGGUCGAUGGUUCAAGUCCAUCCAGGCCCAUUGAAAUGCAAAGAAAAGUCUUUAGCAUUUCAGCCGAGAUGGAGUAACAUCUNAAAGUUGAUAUUUUACGGGGGCAUAGCUCAGCUGGGAGAGCACCUGCUUUGCAAGCAGGAGGUCAUCGGUUCGAUCCCGUUUGCCUCCAUUGCCGGAAGGCCAAGUUUGUACGUUGAAAACUGAAUAUCUUAAUUCCAAGAAAAAACCGAGAAUCAUUGAGAUCAAUGAAAACAUUGCAAAGCGACCGAGAGAGUUCGAAAGAACAAACUUGCAA
rnacentral:tRNA from 1 species